GGGUUGUGAGGUUAAGCGACUAAGCGUACACGGUGGAUGCCCUGGCAGUCAGAGGCGAUGAAGGACGUGCUAAUCUGCGAAAAGCGUCGGUAAGGUGAUAUGAACCGUUAUAACCGGCGAUGUCCGAAUGGGGAAACCCAGUGCAAUUCGUUGCACUAUCGUUAACUGAAUACAUAGGUUAACGAGGCGAACCGGGGGAACUGAAACAUCUAAGUACCCCGAGGAAAAGAAAUCAACCGAGAUUCCCCCAGUAGCGGCGAGCGAACGGGGAGCAGCCCAGAGUCUGAAUCAGCUUGUGUGUUAGUGGAACGGUCUGGAAAGUCCGACGGUACAGGGUGAUAGUCCCGUACACCAAAAUGCACAGGUUGUGAACUCGAAGAGUAGGGCGGGACACGUGGUAUCCUGUCUGAAUAUGGGGGGACCAUCCUCCAAGGCUAAAUACUCCUGACUGACCGAUAGUGAACCAGUACCGUGAGGGAAAGGCGAAAAGAACCCCGGCGAGGGAGUGAAAAGAACCUGAAACCGUGUACGUACAAGCAGUGGGAGCACCUUCGGGUGUGACUGCGUACCUUUUGUAUAAUGGGUCAGCGACUUAUAUUCUGUAGCAAGGUUAACCGUAUAGGGAGCCGCAGGGAAACCGAGUCUUAACUGGGCGUUAAGUUGCAGGGUAUAGACCCGAAACCCGGUGAUCUAGCCAUGGGCAGGUUGAAGGUUGGGUAACACUAACUGGAGGACCGAACCGACUAAUGUUGAAAAAUUAGCGGAUGACUUGUGGCUGGGGGUGAAAGGCCAAUCAAACCGGGAGAUAGCUGGUUCUCCCCGAAAGCUAUUUAGGUAGCGCCUCGUGAAUUCAUCUUCGGGGGUAGAGCACUGUUUCGGCUAGGGUCAUCCCGACUUACCAACCCGAUGCAAACUACGAAUACCGAAGAAUGUUAUCACGGGAGACACACGGCGGGUGCUAACGUCCGUCGUGAAGAGGGAAACAACCCAGACCGCCAGCUAAGGUCCCAAAGUCAUGGUUAAGUGGGAAACGAUGUGGGAAGGCACAGACAGCCAGGAUGUUGGCUUAGAAGCAGCCAUCAUUUAAAGAAAGCGUAAUAGCUCACUGGUCGAGUCGGCCUGCGCGGAAGAUGUAACGGGGCUAAACCAUGCACCGAAGCUGCGGCAGCGACACUAUGUGUUGUUGGGUAGGGGAGCGUUCUGUAAGCCUGCGAAGGUGACCUGUGAGGGUUGCUGGAGGUAUCAGAAGUGCGAAUGCUGACAUAAGUAACGAUAAAGCGGGUGAAAAGCCCGCUCGCCGGAAGACCAAGGGUUCCUGUCCAACGUUAAUCGGGGCAGGGUGAGUCGACCCCUAAGGCGAGGCCGAAAGGCGUAGUCGAUGGGAAACAGGUUAAUAUUCCUGUACUUGGUGUUACUGCGAAGGGGGGACGGAGAAGGCUAUGUUAGCCGGGCGACGGUUGUCCCGGUUUAAGCAUGUAGGCUGAUUGUCCAGGCAAAUCCGGAUAAUCAAGGCUGAGGUGUGAUGACGAGGCACUACGGUGCUGAAGUAACAAAUGCCCUGCUUCCGUGAAAGCCUCUAAGCAUCAGGUAACAUCAAAUCGUACCCCAAACCGACACAGGUGGUCAGGUAGAGAAUACCAAGGCGCUUGAGAGAACUCGGGUGAAGGAACUAGGCAAAAUGGUGCCGUAACUUCGGGAGAAGGCACGCUGGUGUGUAGGUGAAGCCCCUGCGGGUGGAGCUGAGACCAGUCGAAGAUACCAGCUGGCUGCAACUGUUUAUUAAAAACACAGCACUGUGCAAACACGAAAGUGGACGUAUACGGUGUGACGCCUGCCCGGUGCCGGAAGGUUAAUUGAUGGGGUUAUCCGUAAGGAGAAGCUCUUGAUCGAAGCCCCGGUAAACGGCGGCCGUAACUAUAACGGUCCUAAGGUAGCGAAAUUCCUUGUCGGGUAAGUUCCGACCUGCACGAAUGGCGUAAUGAUGGCCAGGCUGUCUCCACCCGAGACUCAGUGAAAUUGAACUCGCUGUGAAGAUGCAGUGUACCCGCGGCAAGACGGAAAGACCCCGUGAACCUUUACUAUAGCUUGACACUGAACAUUGAGCCUUGAUGUGUAGGAUAGGUGGGAGGCUUUGAAGCGUGGACGCCAGUCUGCGUGGAGCCAACCUUGAAAUACCACCCUUUAAUGUUUGAUGUUCUAACGUUGGCCCUUACCGGGGUUGCGGACAGUGUCUGGUGGGUAGUUUGACUGGGGCGGUCUCCUCCCAAAGCGUAACGGAGGAGCACGAAGGUUAGCUAAUCCUGGUCGGACAUCAGGAGGUUAGUGCAAUGGCAUAAGCUAGCUUGACUGCGAGCGUGACGGCGCGAGCAGGUGCGAAAGCAGGUCAUAGUGAUCCGGUGGUUCUGAAUGGAAGGGCCAUCGCUCAACGGAUAAAAGGUACUCCGGGGAUAACAGGCUGAUACCGCCCAAGAGUUCAUAUCGACGGCGGUGUUUGGCACCUCGAUGUCGGCUCAUCACAUCCUGGGGCUGAAGUAGGUCCCAAGGGUAUGGCUGUUCGCCAUUUAAAGUGGUACGCGAGCUGGGUUUAGAACGUCGUGAGACAGUUCGGUCCCUAUCUGCCGUGGGCGCUGGAGAAUUGAGGGGGGCUGCUCCUAGUACGAGAGGACCGGAGUGGACGCAUCACUGGUGUUCGGGUUGUCAUGCCAAUGGCACUGCCCGGUAGCUAAAUGCGGAAGAGAUAAGUGCUGAAAGCAUCUAAGCACGAAACUUGCCCCGAGAUGAGUUCUCCCUGAGACUUUAAGUCUCCUGAAGGAACGUUAAAGACGAUGACGUUGAUAGGCCGGGUGUGUAAGCGCAGCGAUGCGUUGAGCUAACCGGUACUAAUGAACCGUGAGGCUUAACCUUACAACGCCGAAG
rnacentral:rRNA from 1 species